rnacentral:lncRNA from 1 species
ACUGCAGCCUCCAACUUUUGGGCUCAAGCGAUCCUCCCACCUCAGCCUCCCGAGUAGCUGGGACUACAGGUGUGUGUCACCGUGCCUUGCUAUUUUACAUGUUUUGUAGAAAUGGAUCUCACUGUGAACCCAAACACCUGGGCUCAAACGAUCUUCCCGCCUUGGCCUCCCAAAGUGCUGGGAUUACAGGUGUGAGCCACCACACCCGGCCCUUAUUUCUCUUUAAUGAAUCUGACUGCCCCUUGGUUUCAGCAAUUCCGGCUAACGGAGGUUUCACCGGAGACCUGCACUGACACACCCAAGUGUCUUUCUCAGCGCUGGUGACCUGUGGAUGCGUCCAGGGCAAAAUGCUGAACUGUUAUCCUUGUGCUCCGGCCGUUUCCCUCCUCAAACUUCAGGGAGACCUUCUGGUGCAAAACAUUGGCAAGAAUGUGAGGAGCAAGUGGGACCAUCGGGGAGGGGUGAGCGGAGGAGCAGCUGGCUCUUUUUGUUGUUGUUGUUUUUGAGACGGAGUCUCG